AUGGAGGAGGAGGGCACGAAGAAGGCGGUGCUCUUCAGGCUGUUCGGCGUCGAGGUCCGCGGCGCGGAGGAGGAUGAUGACGCGGAGCCCAUGGAGCUCAAGAAGAGCACCAGCAUGCCCAACCUCGCCUGCGCCUCCACCGACCCGUUUCUCCUGCCCGGCGAGGCCAGCAAUGACAAGGGCUACGCCUCCGACGACGGCGAGCUAGCGCCCACGCCGCAUCUCAAGCGCCGCCGCCGCAAGGCCCAGGAGCGGAUGAAAGUUAACGCGAUUGUCCUCCAUCUGGAUCACACACGGGAUUCUGUGGACCGAGGAGGAGCACAGGAAGUUCCUGGGCAAUGGGGAGUGGAGAGGCAUCUCCAAGAACUUCGUCACCACCAGGACGGCCACGCAGGUGGCCAGCCACGCCCAGAAGUACUUCCUCCGGCAGACCAACCCCGACAAGAAGAAGCGCCAGGCCAGCCUCUUCGACGUCGGCAUCCCCGCUUCCCACAGCUAUGA
rnacentral:rRNA from 1 species